rnacentral:lncRNA from 1 species
UCAUGGGUGCUGUGAACUAAAUUUGGCCUUCUGAAAAACUAUAUGCAGUAUUAACUGCAUAUACUUAACUUCAGCCCUAGUUUGUUUGUUUGUUUACUUGAGACAAAUCAUGUAGUACAAGUUGGUUUCAAUCUCUAUGUUGCUGAGGCUGGUCUUGAACUCCUGAUCCUCCUGUCUCUAUCUCUCUCUUUUGGAAUAUAGUUGUGUGCCCCCCAUGCCUGGCCUUCCUGGGCUGUUUUGAAGGACUUGUCUGUUUUCCUUCUCAGUCCUCUCAUACCAGAUUUUAUUUUGGACUCAGCAGGAAGUAUAAUGGUUAUAUCCCUGAAUCCUAACAGGAUGACACUGGUAACUCUGAAGAGUUUGUUUCUUGAUAGGUCCACAAGCACUUACAGGAAAAGGAAGAGGGACUGUUAAAUAGAGAAAAUCAUGGUCUUACACUUCAGCAAACUGAGGCAACCAGGCUGGCAAGAGUCCCUCUAAUGCCUGCCUUAUACCACCCCCAUCUCUCUUAUGUCUCCUGGUCAUGCUAUAAUGGGUGGGGCACUAGAUAAUUUCUAUUGCUCUGUGGAAUGUUUAAGCCUUUAACUGUGUUGUUUUUUAAAGAUCAGAGACAAUCUUUUGUUUCACUACCUUUUGGUUAGAGUGAACUACGUUUUGGGUUUUAAGUUUCACUUUUUCCAGGUCAGAAUGAUAGUGUUUCUUUUGGAGAAUGUUGUUGUUCAUUUACUUUAUUACUAGAAGUUUCGAGGCUGUGUCAUCAGUCUCUCCUUGAGGUCAAGUUCUGUUUCAGAUAAUCUGGCCUUGGCACAGGCUAGGGGGAGUUGAGGGUGUGUACUCGGUCAGUCACCUGUUACGUACAACAGAACGCCUUGCUUUGUCAACCAUGUAGCUUGCAUUUAUUUAUUUAUUUAUUUAUUUAUUUAUUUAUUUAUUUAUUUUUGUAGCUUUCAUAAUAACCACAUAACUGUUCCGAGAAGCUUUUUAUAGGCAGACUCUGGGUAUGUAUUAUUCCUCUUCUGACUGGAAAAAAAAUGUUUGCAAAUACAUAAAAGAGAAACUGUUCUCUUUUAAUAGUGGCUAUUUUUUAGAGAUGUAUUUAACAUAUUUCCAUAUUUUAGUUUGUAAAACAAGUUUUAUACUCUAGAGGUAAAAAUUGUGAUUUAUAAUAGCUUCUGAACUAAUUCUGGAAGUUUUGGCAAUGUAAAUGAAAACAAUGGUUGUUCAUUGCAAGUUUGAGAGUUAAUUGGAAUCAAGGCUUUUCCUUGUCUCAUUAAUGCCCUUUGCUCUGAUAUUCCUUUGAGGGUUUUUUUUGGUGGGGCCUGUGGCUUGGGGGAAUGCACCAUGUUGUGCAGGGUGACAUACUCACUGAGGGCUGCUUUUGAGUAGUUUCUGGGGAGCUACUUACCUCUGUCCUUGUGGGUCUUGGCAGAAGCAAGGCUUCAGCCACAGUAAAACGAGCAUCUUCCACCAGGCCCUGUCUGUGGGUCCAUGUUCAGACGUUAGCUGAAUCCCCCACCCCCACCCCUUGUGUGUGUGUGUGUGUGUGUGUGUGUGUUGUGUGUGUGUUGUGUGUGUGUGUGUUGUGUGUGUGUGUGUAGUGUAUGUGUAUGUGUGUGUGUGUGUUGUGUGUGUGUGUGUGUGCACUGCCGUUGAAGGCUCAAUACCUGUGAGCAAAUAAUGCAGUGGCAGACUGAUGUGAUUAUCACCAUCUCACGAGUUUUCUCUUCCCACUUACGACAGACACCCAAGAUCCAGUUCACAUUGGUGGUUUCCCCUGCCCUGGUGCCUCCAGAUCCAGUCUUAGGUGAUUCCAGUGCCACUGGCCAGUUUUUGGGAGCUGGUGGUUACUUCUCUCAUCUUGUCUAUCAUAUAUUCAUACCAGAGUGGCAAAGAAUGAGGCAGGGAAAUUCUGGUUUUGUCUUGCUUCUGCUACUUUCUAGAAAAGCUUUGUGAACUUGGAUGAACCAUACUCUCUCAUUUUCUCAUAGAUAUUUGGUGUUGGAAAUGAAGUCCUUCGUUUUCUUUUUACUUUCCAAGUAGGCAAGCUAUUUAUAGAAAUUUGAAGAAAACUAAAAUGCAGAAUUGCAUAUGUAAUGUGAACUCUUAUUUGGCAUUAAUACCCCCUCCCUCUGUGCAGAGGAGAAAGGCCUCAGUAGUGCCUUGAGGUAGAGAGCAGAGCAGUGCGCCUUCUGCUUUCUCGGUGCCUGCCUUAGCAGUGCUGGAGCUUGCAAAGCUGAAGCCUACAUUGUGUGAGGGCUCCUGUGAGUCGUCAGUGUCCUGAGGAGGAGGAGACAAGUGCUUCUGUGAGUGAUUUGUACAUGCUUUAUAUGUGUAGCUUGUGUUGAGGGACUCAUGAGUCACAUGCAAAAUUUAUGGCAUCCUAGUGUUUGAUCUAGAAUUGAUAAAUCUGACUUUUGUUUUCAUAUUGCUACCACAGGCCUCAUCUGUGCCACAUUAUUGCUGGAAUUCUUUUUGGAAAGUGACUAGAGAAGAAGGGGAUCUGAGGUCCCUGCUGGGGGCUUCCUCAGUGUAAGAACCUGACACUAUGGUUCCUGUGCGUCAGCAGGCACAGGAGGGAGAGGUGGACAAGGGUGACGAUCCAGUCGACUUGGGUCUUGUCUUCCUCUGGUAAAGAUGUAGAUUUUACAAAACUUUUGUGUAGAAAAAACAACCAGCCAACCAACCAACCACCACCACCAAUAACAACCACAACCAAAAAACCUCCCAGAAGAACCCAGGGAGAACCUAGAGAAAACCCAAGAGGUCCCAAACACUACAAACUGUUGUUCUUUUGAAACUUUGUCAUUUGUGACAUGUUUAGUCAUUUAAUGUUUUGUUACACUGCAGUCUUAUUAAAUGUUAACUAUUAUUUUCCAUGCUAAGUAAUAUCAUUAUAACCCUCUUGUUAGGUGACAAAAUUAUUUACUUCUCUUUUUUUUUCAGGUGAGUAAGAGCAAUCCAAAACAGUUUGUAGUACUAAUAAUACUGGAUAUAAUUACUGAAAUGAAUAAUGAAAUAGUGGUCAUCAAUUAAUAACAAUAAAACACAGUUAAAGAGUGUCUAUAUUUUGUAAAUCCUU